rnacentral:rRNA from 1 species
UUAAAGAGCCGCGGUAUCCUGACCGUGCGAAGGUAGCAUAAUAAUUAGUCUCCUAAUUAGAGGCUUGUAUGAAUGGUCGGACAAGAUGGAAACUGUCUCGAUACAAAAAAUAAAACUUAAUAUUUAAGUAAAAAAGCUUAAAUAACGUGGAGGGACGAUAAGACCCUAUAAAGCUUUAUGAUAUUGUUUUUUUUUAUAAUUUAUCUUAUUAUUAACCUAUUUUAAAAUCUUUAUCAUUUUACUGGGGCGGUAAAAGUAUAAUAAAGAAUAACUGCUUUUGUUUUGUACAACAACGAUAGUUGAAAAUAAAUUGAUCCAUUAAUAAUGAUCAUAAGAACAAGUUACUUUAGGGAUAACAGCGUAAUUUUUUUUGAGAGUCCUUAUCGAAAAAAAAGUUUGCGACCUCGAUGUUGAAUUAAGGUUACCUUAAGGUGCAGCAGUUU